GCGACGAUUUUUUGCCUUGAUCGUCUUCCUUGACGUAAAUUCUUGAUUUGGUUGUUGGCACUUGUGACUUCUUGUUGUUCGCCUUUUGUAGUUGAAAAGAAGAGAAUUUAGAAACAUUGAUUGAUGAAUUAUGAGAAGAUAUGUGAUGUUUAUUGGUUGUUCCUCCCAAAUUGAUGGCUGCAAGAGAAAAAGACGAUAGUGUGAUGAUAUUCACAACUAUUUCCAUGGAUUUUUCACAUAGAGAUUUCUUUUCUUGAAUCCUGCUCUUUUGAGUCAUGAUUAAGCAAUAAAUUUCGCUCAAUAAUAAAAUACAAGGAAUUAGUUGUGUGUUU
rnacentral:lncRNA from 1 species